CCUACGGGGGGCAACAGUGAGGAAUAUUGGUCAAUGGGCGCGAGCCUGAACCAGCCAAGUCGCGUGAGGGAAGACGGUCCUAUGGAUUGUAAACUUCUUUUGUGCGGGAGCAAUAAUGGUCACGUGUGGCCAGACGAGAGUACCGUACGAAUAAGCAUCGGCUAACUCCGUGCCAGCAGCCGCGGUAAUACGGGGGAUGCAAGCGUUAUCCGGAUUUAUUGGGUUUAAAGGGUGCGUAGGCUGUGAGGUAAGUCAGCGGUGAAAUGCCCCCGCUCAACGGGGUGAAGUGCCAUUGAUAAUGCCUUGCUGGAAUGCGUAGGCCGUGGGAGGAAUGUGUGGUGUAGCGGUGAAAUGCAUAGAUAUCACACAGAACACCGAUUGCGAAGGCAUCUCACGAAUCCGCGAUUGACGCUGAUGCACGAAAGCGUGGGUAUCAAACAGGAUUAGAUACCCGGGUAGUC
rnacentral:rRNA from 1 species